rnacentral:lncRNA from 1 species
UGUCAACCACUCAUGCUAGUAAUCAUCACUUAAAGAUAAAAAACAUAAAAUGAAUGAAUUGAAACAAAACUGAUAUAAUAUUCAAAUCAUAGUUUGGGACAAUACAUCAGAUUUGAAAUGACAAAAAUAGUAAAAAUAUCCAAAUUAAACUAAAAAUGAAACAAAAUGACAAAAUAAAGAAAAUAAAACAAAUUCUCAUCAUCAACUCCUUUGUUUUCCAUAUGUUGGUCAAAGUUGAUCAUGUUGGUGUAAGCCCUAG